rnacentral:rRNA from 1 species
GACGUAGGGCGCGAGCGUUGUCCGGAUUUAUUGGGCGUAAAGAGCUCGUAGGCGGCUUGUCGCGUCGACUGUGAAAACCCGCGGCUCAACUGCGGGCUUGCAGCCGAUACGGGGCAGGCUAGAGUUCGGUAGGGAUGCGGAAUUCCAGGUGUAGCGGUGAAAUGCGUAGAUAUCUGGAGGAACACCGGUGGCGAAGGCGGCAUCCUGGACCGAUACUGACGCUGAGGGAGCGAAAAGCCAGGGGGAGCAAAACGGG